GAAGAAUCAGCCGGGGCCGAGGCUGCAGUUGUUAUGUCCACUGAUGUUACUGGAUUGUCCAUCUUGUAGCUAACAUCAACCCUUACCCCAGCGACGAAAUGUGGUCGUACUUGGUGUGGCAUUGAUGGAGAAGCUGACAGAGAAAGGUGAAGCUUCAAGGCUGUCGGUUGCAGUCAUCCGCAAGCGUCAGAAACUCCCUAACACUUCAGGGGGGUGAAAAGUGGUCUAGAGCAAGAGUGUCGGUGGUCCAGAGUAAAGGAUGGAGAUGAAGUGAAGCUUAAGGACGCCAUGGGAGGACAAGGCCUGCACCUUCACCUGAGCCUGGUUUCAGUUAUGCCUGGUAAAGACAUCCUGGGCC